GCUCUGGUGGCGAAAUUGGUAGACGCGCAGGCUUGAGGGGCUUGUGAUCAAUAUGAUCGUGGAGGUUCAAGUCCUCUCCAGAGCACCA
rnacentral:tRNA from 1 species